GGUAGAUCAAAAGGCAUUAAGACUAAGGUUUUUCCCUUAUUACUUGUUGUAGAGGCAUCUUUAUGGCUAGGGGAAUUCUAAGAGGUUCUAUCACUACAUUGAGUGAGUUACCUGGACAAUUCUUGAAUAGGUUCUUUCCUCCAUCAAAGGUAUUGUAGCUCAAGGAUGAGAUUUAUAACUCUAGGCAGCCACAGUCAGAAUCUAUGUAUGAGG
rnacentral:lncRNA from 1 species